UUCGACCUGUACUCAGACAUGAUUACCCGCUGAACUUAAGCAUAUCAGUAGCGGAGGAAAAGAAACUAACAAGGAUUCCCUUAGUAACGGCGAGUGAAA
rnacentral:rRNA from 1 species